rnacentral:rRNA from 1 species
AUUGAACGCUGGCGGCAUGCCUUACACAUGCAAGUCGAACGGCAGCACGGGAGCAAUCCUGGUGGCGAGUGGCGAACGGGUGAGUAAUAUAUCGGAACGUGCCCAGUCGUGGGGGAUAACGCAGCGAAAGCUGUGCUACUACCGCAUACGAUCUACGGAUGAAAGCGGGGGAUCGCAAGACCUCGCGCGUGUGGAGCGGCCGAUAUCAGAUUAGCUAGUUGGUGAGGUAAAGGCUCACCAAGGCGACGAUCUGUAGCUGGUCUGAGAGGACGACCAGCCACACUGGAACUGAGACACGGUCCAGACUCCUACGGGAGGCAGCAGUGGGGAAUUUUGGACAAUGGGCGCAAGCCUGAUCCAGCAAUGCCGCGUGCAGGAUGAAGGCCUUCGGGUUGUAAACUGCUUUUGUACGGAGCGAAACGGUCUUUCCUAAUACGAGAGGCUAAUGACGGUACCGUAAGAAUAAGCACCGGCUAACUACGUGCCAGCAGCCGCAGUAA